AGCGUGCGCAAUCCGACUUCCGCCUACACAUCGUGUUGUGAUCAGCAUAAUGAAUUUUCACACAAGAUUAUGUUCUUUGUGUUUCAAAGAAGCUUUCAUUUUAUAGAAGGGUCUGACGAGAGAUAUUGUAACCUGUAAAUAAUCGACAUGCCACAGAAACCAACUGAACUGUCAUCCAAUACAAAAAGCUGAUGUAGCCAGGAGAUAUACAACUUAGUUUUGAUCUGACAAAGAACCAAUGUCUGUACAGGUAAAGAUUGAGCUUGGCCACAGGGCCUCAGUACGCCAAAACCAGACCGAAAAUGGUUUCACCCAUGACUGGACUGUAUUUGUAAGGGGACCUGAUGGCUGUGAUAUUGCUCACUUCAUAGAGAGAGUGGUAUUCAAUCUUCACCCGAGCUUCACAAACUCCAAACGAAUGAAGACAUCUCCUCCAUACUUUGUAUCAGAGUCAGGAUAUGCUGGGUUUAACUUGCCAAUAGACAUUUACUUUAAAAACAAAGAAGAACCCCGCAAAAUCCGCUACCAGUAUGAUUUGUUUCUGAGAAUGGCCGAUAAUCCUCCUGUGAACCAUACGCGAUGUGAGAAACUCACUUUUCAGAAUCCUACAGAGGAAUUUAAGAAAAAGCUGCUGGAAGCUGGAGGGAUUGUUGUGAACCCUAAUGGGGAGAAGGAAACUGGGCAGUUCACAGACUUGUUUGGUCCACCUAUCCAGACUGAUACCGUGAAGAAAUCUAAGCACUCCAAGUCCAAAGGAAGUUCCACUAUUUCUGGUAAGUCGAUACCUGGGUCUGGUUCUAAGGACUCAAGCUCAUCUUCGUCAUCAUCGUCAGGUUCCUCAGGCCAAUUAGUCACUUCUAACACUACUUCUAGUACUACGACAACUAGCUCAAGUGAGAGCUCUAAAUCUCAUAAAAGUUCCUCUAAGGACAAACAUUCCUCAUCUUCACAGAAAAGGCCUCAUGACACAUCUCAUGAUGAAGGGGGCAAGAAGAUUAAGAAAAGUUCAUCCUCCUCACCAUCAGAUGUCAAGGUCAAGGACAAACAUGGGGAAAAGUCUGUGGAAAAAAGUAAACAUUCAAAGGAGAAAGAUUCUUCGUCAAAGCGUAAGGAAUCAUCUUCAAAGGACAAGGAAUCCUCUUCAAAGGAUAAAGACUCAUCUUCCAAGGACAAAGAUUCUUCUUCAAAAGAAUCUAAGGAGAAAAAUACUUCAUCCAAAGAUAGUUCAUCAUCAUCCAAGCAUAAAAAUAAAUCAUCGUCUUCUAAAUCACACAAAUCCGAUAAAGAUAAAAGUAAAUCCUCGAAAAGUAGUAGACACGAGAGUAAGCGAGAGAAGGAGGAUACAAAAUCUAAAGUGAAAAGUGAAACAGUUUCUUCUAGUGGAAAAAUGAAAACAGAAAUGGAUGUGAAAUCUGAAAUCAAAAGUGAAUCUGCCAUUAAAGUUAAGACAGAGGUUCCAGAGGAGAAAGUUAAAACUGAGCCUUUGGUAACUGAAAAAAAAUCUCCUAGCAGCAAAAAUACUUUUUCAAAAGAAGCUUUUGCUAAGGAGAAGGUAUCAUCUCAUGAUAAAAAGAAAAAGGAAAAACCUCAAAGGUCAAGUUCAGGGUCAUCACAACCACCAAUCAAACGAAAGAGGAUUAUUUCUGAUGAUAGUAGUUGUGAAGACAGCAGUAAUGACAGCUCAUCUUCAUCAGAUGAAAGUAUUGAACAGGAUGCGGAGGAGCCAGAACUUCGUGACUUACAACACUCGAGGCUUAAUGUGACUCAAAAUAGUGAUAGUGAAGAUAGCCUAAAUGAUGACAAUGAUGAGGAUGAGGAAAGUACAACAAGACCAAGCUCUGUGGCGUCAAAUACAUCCAUGGCAUCCACUAACCCAUCUCCACAACCCACAAUCCAACAGCAAACAAAACGUGCGCUUCAUAGACUUAUGCAAGAUUUGAGUGACCAAGAUGAUGACGACGAUGAUGAUGAUGACGAUGAUGAUUUGAUUCCUCAAGCUUUUCGCUCCCCUAUUAAAACAUUUUCACCUUCCUCUGUGAAGAGUUCUAGAGCUUCACCAGGAUCUGUUCAAAGUGCAAAAAGUUCAUCAUCUCCAGCAGUGAAGUCUUUGAGAAUGGAUUCUCCUUCAUCUCAGAAAAUUGCAAAAGAAAGUUCACCCUCACAUUCAAAAAGUAUUUCGUCUCCUCAUUCCCAAAAGAGUUCCAAAUCUAGUCAUCAUUCCACCAUUGAAUCAAAAGACCAUUCCUCUACAUCAACACCUUCAACUCAAUCAUCUCAAAGGAAAUCAUCUAAAUCAUCAUCAUCUUCAUCAUCUACCAAAAACAAAAGUGACAGUAAAUCUGACAGCAACAAAAAGGAAAAGGGCAAUUCUAGUUCUUCUGUAAAAGACAGUUCCAAGUGUGACACGAAUAUAAAAACUGAGAGUACAAAUAAGGAGAAAAAAUCUAAAGAUAAGGAGCGAAAGUCAAAUAAAGAGUCUGCUAAGCAGAGAAAAGCAUGCAAAGAAAAUAUUGCUGAAAAUCAAGGGAACUCGUACAGGGAAGAAAGAUCUACCACAAAUAACAGUUAUACUUCAGAAACACAUGAGUCGGAGCGAGACAUGAAUGGAAAUGGCCAUAUCAAUUUUGGAGAUAUCCUGGAGCAGCAUAAUCUUGGAAAUGCUCCAAAUGGACAAGAUCUUGUCUCCUUGUUGGAUCUCCAUAAAAAACUAGAAACAAUGAAAGACCGUGGAGUUCUUCAACAGAUUGUGACUGUAAUAUUGGAGACUGGGAAAUAUGAAAUCGGAGAAGCUUCAUUUGAUUUUGAUCUUUGUGCUUUGGAUGGCAAAACUGUUGAGAGACUCCGAAAUUUCAUUGGAGGUUCAGCAUCCUAGUUGGUAGGAAUAAUGUUAAAGGGAUACUGGGAGUUAAAUCAAAACUGAUAGGAAUAACAGAUGUUUCAUUUCACCUCCUUAUACGGUGAUAGAAGUGAACAGCCUGGUUGCCAUGGAUUUAACAUUCAAAUUUGAAGGAUGAGAGAUAAUCGAAACCUGAUAUGUUAGAAGCAUCAUUAAUUUAUAUUGUUUUGAAUCCUUUUUGUCAACAUAUAUAUAAUGUAUUAUAGACUGAUGACACAUGAUUUAGUGUUUACUUGAGUCUUCAAAUGAAAGGAGAUAUAUUUAUGAACCAAGAUGUAGUAUAUCAUCGAAUAAUUCUUAAGAUCCUGUGUACAAUGGAACCCUGAAAAGUACUUGUUUUAUAAACAAGAUUAGGGCAUUUAGUUGACCCGUGACAUUUAGCUAUUUCAGAAGUCAAAUAUUUUUUUCUCAGAAAUCUGAAGGGUCAAACAUAGUCUAAUAGACAUGUCCUUUCAAACCCAAGAUGGGGAGUCAAAACUAUACUCUCAAGGGUCUACUGGAUGCCUUGAAGAUGCUACUAUUUAUGAAAACGAAAAAACUACCCUUGUCACUUCCUCCUGUUGAUAUUUGAGUGCUGUUGCUGAUCUUGUAAAAGGGAUUGUUACUUUGUCAUAAAAUAUGCAUAUGUGUUGAUGUAUGAUAUCAUGAUCAGUUUUUGAAAGAAAACAUCAAGGUUGUGACAAGGUUUGACUGUACUGUAACGAGGUUAAAAUUGUGUCCUAUUUAAAUAGGGCAUAAUUUCAAACAUUUUUGAUCAAAAUCACCAAAAUUAUGGCUAAAAUGGAAAAACUUCCUUCUGUAUACACUGUACAGUGCUGUAUAAUAUAUGCUCAUUUUUGGCCUGGUAUGAAAUAUGAAUCAAUGACAGAAAGACAUCCUCUAGUAUAUAUAAUAGAUGUUACAUAACAGCAAUGAAUGCUCUUAUUUUUUUGACACUCAAGUACUGGUUGUAAGAUUUGUGGCUGAAGUGAUAUAUACAGAAAUUUACAAUUUCAUUUUCAUGAAUGACUUAAACCAUUUUAAGUGCUAUCUUUAGUGGAAAAGAUGCAACACUACGCUGAAAGUAAAGAGCUAUGAUUUUUUUCACUUUGAUAUUUAUACAGAUAAAUAUAUUUGAACCUACAAAUCCAAGCAUAACUUCAAUGAUGCAUCAUCUUCAGGAGUUAAAGUCAUCUUUACCUUUCAAUUAUAGUAUGAAUUAUCUUUUUUAAAAAUCUUAUAUACAAUGUAUAAAGAAUCUGAUUAACAUUACAUCAAACAAAAUGAAACCGUUGAAGAAGUGAUCUGGUGAAUAUUGUGGUGUAAAUGUAUAUAUAUGUAUAUUUAUUUGAGAUUUCAUUGGUGAAAUGUUAACAAAUUACAUCCAUAUUUAUUAUUCAGCAUUUUGACCUGUACAUGUGUAUGAUGUAUUUUAAGCCAAUCAUUUGGUGAUUGUGAGCUGUUUAAAUUGCCAUUCAUCCAUUGUCUGUCAUAUCGGCUGUCCACUCUGUAAACAAUCCUUGAAGUAUCUGAGAGAUCUUUCUCAAAUUCAUAUGUAGGUUCCCCUUGGUCUGUUGUGGUGCGUGUUUAAUUUUGAGACUUUUCUGAUUACAAAUGAGAAUCUUGAAUUUUGGAAAUUGAAGUUGGUUACGUUUUUUUUCCAUGGAUAUUUAAAAUAAAUUUUGAUGUUCAUUUUGGAAACCGAUCAGAAAAAAAUAGUAGUGAUAUUUUGUGAUUAGUACUAUUAUUAAAAGGAAAGGGAGAAAAAAAAAUACAGAAAAUUUUGUUUACAUACAACCAAUAAAAUACACUGAAGUAGUUGCCAAGAUCCUCUGGGAUAUCCUUCAAACACUGUUUUCUCCUGUUUUAUACUUAAUCUUGUCUGGUUAUAGUGAUAUCUGAUUAUGUGCUUAUGUUUGUUCUGGCAUUCUAUGUAUUAUGUACAGCCUAGGUCUAGAUCUGUACAUAUGACGGUCAAUUUAUGUAUGACCUUAUGAAAUUAGGUAAAGUUGGAGCAGAUUGACUUGUUCCAUUGACCUUAUUAUUAUGAAUGACUUCAGGUAAAGUUCACACAGAAUGACUUGUCAGAUUGUGACCUUAUGUAUGACCUUAGGUUAAGUUGGAGCAGAAUGACUUGUCACAUUGAACUUAUGUAUGACCUUAGGUAAAGUUCACACAGAACGACUUGUCACAUUGACCUUAUGUAUGACCUUGGGUAAAGUUCACACAGAAUGACUUGUCACAUUGACCUUAUGUAUGACCUUAGGUUAAGUUGGAGCAGAAUGACUUGUCACAUUGACCUUAUGUAUGACCUUGGGUAAAGUUCACACAGAAUGACUUGUCACAUUGAUCGUAUGUAUGACCUAAGGUAAAGUUCACACAGAAUGACUUGUCACAUUGACCUUAUGUAUGACCUUAGGUAAAGUUCACACAGAAUGACUUGUCACAUUGACCUUAUGUAUGACCUUGGGUAAAGUUCACACAGAAUGACUUGUCACAUUGACCUUAUGUAUGACCUUAGGUAAAGUUCACACAGAAUGACUUGUCACAUUGACCUUAUGUAUGACCUUAGGUAAAGUUCACAAAGAAUGACUUGUCACAUUGACCUUAUGUGUGACCUUAGGUAAAGUUCACCAAGAAUGACUUGUCACAUUGACCUUAUGUAUGACCUUAGGUUAAGUUGGAGCAGAAUGACUUGUCACAUUGACCUUAUGUAUGACCUUAGGUUAAGUUGGAGCAGAAUGACUUGUCACAUUGACCUUAUAUAUGUAUGACCUUAGGUAAAAAUCACACAGAAUGACUUGUCACAUUGACCUUAUGUAUGACCUUGGGUAAAGUUCACACAGAAUGACUUGUCACAUUGACCUUAUGUAUGACCUUAGGUUAAGUUGGAGCAGAAUGACUUGUCACAUUGACCUUAUGUGUGACCUUAGGUAAAGUUGGAGCAGAAUGACUUGUCACAUUGAACUUAUGUAUGACCUUAUAGGUUAAGUUGGAGCAGAAUGACUUGUCACAUUGACCUUAUGUAUGACCUUAGGUAAAGUUCACACAGAAUGACUUGUCACAUUGACCUUAUGUAUGACCUUAGGUUAAGUUGGAGCAGAAUGACUUGUCACAUUGACCUUAUGUAUGACCCUAGGUUAAGUUGGAGCAGAAUGACUUGUCACAUUGACCUUAUGUAUGACCUUAGGUAAAGUUCACACAGAAUGACUUGUCACAUUGACCUUAUGUAUGACCUUAGGUAAAGUUCACACAGAAUGACUUGUCACAUCGACCUUAUGUAUGACCUUAGGUUAAGUUGGAGCAGAAUGACUUGUCACAUUGACCUUAUAUAUGUAUGACCUUAGGUAAAGUUCACACAGAAUGACUUGUCACAUUGACCUUAUGUAUGACCUUGGGUAAAGUUCACACAGAAUGACUUGUCACAUUGACCUUAUGUAUGACCUUAGGUUAAGUUGGAGCAGAAUGACUUGUCACAUUGACCUUAUGUAUGACCUUAGGUUAAGUUGGAGCAGAAUGACUUGUCACAUUGACCUUAUGUAUGACCUUGGGUAAAGUUCACACAGAAUGACUUGUCACAUUGACCUGAUGUAUGACCUUGGGUAAAGUUCACAAAGAAUGACUUGUCACAUUGACAUUAUGUGUGACCUUAGGUUAAGUUAGAGUAGAAUGACUUGUCACAAUGACCUGAUGUAUGACCUUUGGUAAUUUUGUGAAUGCACAUAGUACUUUGAUCAACAACCAGCAUAUUCAAUAAUUAUUUUUUUCACAUAUUUGAAACUUUAAUUCUACAGCAUCUAGUGUCUCUAGGGAAUCAUCUUUUGUGGCUUGCAAACCAACUGCUAGUAUUUAUGUAGAAAUCUUUACGAAAGCUGAUGUCACACUGCAAUCAACAUAUUUAUAAGAUACAGUACAUGUGGUAUUUCUAGGAUGUGAUAAUACAUUGGAAAUACCUAGCAGUAAUAUAAGCCCAGGGCCAGGUCUGGUAACAAGCCCCAUUCUAUUGCAGUUCAUUGAAGAUUUGUUGUUCUGAAAUAUGCCAACAUCCCCUACUUCAGUCCAAGUUAAUUUGGUGGCCCCUGGGCUUAUUGGAGGAUAGAUACAUGUGUUACCGUACAAACAUAUUCAGCCUGUCGUCACAACAGGAUAAUUUGUAAUACAUCAGGAUGUUAUUUUGUGUAUGGAUA